GACCAGUGUGUGAAAAUAAUAGCGCAUUUGUUCCAUGCUCCUGUCGGUGCAGAAGAAACAACGGCUGAGUUUUGAUGGCGCAGAUCCCAAGGCUUUUGUUGUAUUGAAAUGCAAGAUAAUCUUUUGUUACCUUUGGGUUUACUGGCCCAUGGAUUCAAAAUCAUAUACUGGCCAUGUCAAAAGUUAUGACAGGGAAGCUAAUAUACAUCAU